AAGUCAUAGUAUAGUAAGGCAUAAAAAGUCAUAAUAUAGUAAAUCAUAAAAUGUCAUAAAUAAGUCAUAGUAUAGUAAGGCAUAAAAAGUCAUAGUAUAUUAAGGCAUAAAAAGUGAUAAAAAAAGUCAUAGUAUAGUGAGGUAUAAAAAGUCAUAAUAUAGUAAAUCAUAAAAUGUCAUAAAUAAGUCAUAGUAUAGUAAGGCAUAAAAAGUCAUAGCAAAGUAAAGCAUAAAAAGUUAUAAAAACGUCAUAGUAUAGUAAGGUAUAAAAAGUCAUAGUACAGUAAGGCGUAAAAAUGUCAUAGUAUAGUAAGGCAUAAAAAGUGAUAACAAAGUCAUAGCAUAGUAAGGCAUAAAAAGUCAUAAAAAUGUCAUAGUAUAGUAAGGUGAGACAGACCCCUGUUCCGUCAUCAGCUUUCAGGUUGUGUUUUUGUGUUCUCAUCCUGAUUGUCAAUUUGUCUGCAGGUCAUUUGUGGGCGGAGUUGCCAACUUGUAGUUGAAGACACCUGGGCCUGGUGCCGCCCACUACUAUAAAGCCCCAGCUUCAUUCAACAGUUCUCUCUCUGACCCCAUUCAUUUCCCCAGCGUUGCUGUCUUUUGUUUUUCUUUUUUUCUGGGCUUUUUCAUGCCUUUAUUUGACAGUACAGUAGAGAGACAGGAAAUGGGGAGGCAGAGAGAGCGGGAAUGACAUGCAGCAAAGGCCGGAUGCGGGACUCGAACCGGGGCCGACUGCAGCGAGGACUUGUAGCCUCUACACAUGGGGUGCCUGCUUAGACCACUACACCACACGAUGCCCCCUUGUUUUUCUAGAUCCAACACUUUCACACACACAUUACCUUUCACUCUCACACUCACAUACACUCACCACAGAUUUACUGAUGCUCACAUCCCAUCGUCUUUUGCGUUGCUCAUGUGUUGAUUUUGUCUUUUGUUGAAUAAAUUUAUUCUUGUUUUCAUCUCGGUCUGUGUCUCCGUCCUUGUGUGUCAUGGCCUUGGAGCCAGGUCGUGACAAAGGUAAAAAAAAAAAAAUUUAAAAAGUCUUAGUAUAUUAAGGCAUAAAAAGUCAUAAAAACGUGAUCGUAUAGUAAGGCAUGAAAAGUCAUAAUAUAGUAAAUCAUAAAAUGUCAUAAAUAAGUCAUAGUAUAGUAAGGCAUAAAAAGUCAUAGUAUAUUAAGGCAUAAAAAGUGAUAAAAAAAGUCAUAGUAUAGUGAGGUAUAAAAAGUCAUAAUAUAGUAAAUCAUAAAAUGUCAUAAAUAAGUCAUAGUAUAGUAAGGCAUAAAAAGUCAUAGCAAAGUAAAGCAUAAAAAGUUAUAAAAACGUCAUAGUAUAGUAAGGCAUAAAAAGUGAUAAAAAAAAGUCAUAGUAUAGUGAGGCAUAAAAAGUGAUAAAAAAAAAGUCAUAGUAUAGUGAGGCAUAAAAAGUCAUAAUAUAGUAAAUCAUAAAAUAUCAUAAAAAAUCAUAGUAUAGUAAGGCAUAAAAAGUCAUAAUAUAGUAAAUCAUAAAAUAUCAUAAAUAAGUGUAAGGCAUAAAAAGUCAUAGUAUAGUAAGGAAUAAAAAGUGAUAAAAAAAAGUCAUAGUAUACUAAGGCAUAAAAAGUGAUAAAAAAGUCAUAGUAUAGUAAGGCAUAAAAAGUGAUAAUAUAGUAAAUCAUAAAAUGUCAUAAAAAAGUCAUAGCAUAGUAAAGUAUAAAAAGUUAUAAAAACGUCAUAGUAUAGUAAGGCAUAAAAAGUCAUAGUAUAGUAAGGAAUUAAAAGUGAUAAAAAAAAGUCAUAGUAUAGUAAGGCAUAAAAAAUGAUAAAGUCAUAGUAUAGUAAGGCAUAAAAAGUGAUAAAAAUGUAAUAGUAUAGUAAGUCAUAAAAAGUGAUAAAAAAGUAAUAGUAUAUUAAGGCAUAAAAAGUGAUAAAAAAAGUCAUAGUAUAGUAAGGCAUAAAAAGUCAUGAUAUAGAAAGGCAUAAAAAAUUCAUAAAAAAGAAAUAGUAUAUUAAGGCAUAAAAAGUGAUAAAAAAAAGUCAUAGUAUAGUAAGGCAUAAAAAGUCAUGAUAUAGUAAGGCAUAAAAAAUUCAUAAAAAAGAAAUAGUAUAUUAAGGAAUAAAAAGUGAUAAAAAAGGUCAUAGUAUAGUAAGGCAUAAAAAGUCAUAAAAAAGAAAUAGUAUAUUAAGGCAUAAAAAGUAAUAAAAAAAAGUCAUAGUAUUGUGAGGUAUAUAAAGUCAUAAUAUAGUAAAUCAUAAAAUGUCAUAAAUAAGUCAUAGUACAGUAAGGCAUAAAAACGUCAUAGAAUAGUAAGGCAUAAAAACGUCAUAGUAUAGUAAGGCAUUAAAAGGUAAUAAUAUAGUGAUGCUUAAAAAGUAGUAAAAAUGUAAUAGUAUAUUAAGGCAUAAAAAGUGAAAAAAAAGUCAUAGUAUAGUGAGGCAUAAAAAGUGAUAAAAAAAAAAAGUCAUAGUAUAGUGAGGCAUAAAAAGUGAUAAAAAAAAGGUCAUAGUAUAGUAAAUCAUAAAAUGUCAUGAAAAGUCAUAGUAUAGUAAGGCAUAAAUAGUUAUACAAACAUCAAAGUAUAUUAAGGCAUAAAAAGUCAUAGCAUAGUAAAGCAUAAAAAGUUAUAAAAAUGUCAUAGUAUAGUAAGGCAUAAAAUGUCAUAAAAACGUUUUAGUAUAGUAAGACAUAAAAAUUCAUAAAAAGUCAUAGUAUAGUAAGGCAUUAAAAGGGAUAAAAAAGUCAUAGUAUAGUAAGGCGUAAAAAGUGAUAAAAAAGUCAUAGUAUAGUAAGGAAUAAAAAGUGAUAAAAAAAAAGUCAUAGUAUAGUAAGGCAUAAAAAGUGAUAAAAAAGUCAUAGUAUAGUAAGGAAUAAAAAGUGAUAAAAAAGGUCAUAGUAUAGUAAGACAUUAAAAGGGAUAAAAAAGUCAUAGUAUAGUAAAGCAUAAAAAAUUCAUAAAAACGUCAUAGUAUAUUAAGGCAUAAAAAGUCAUAGUAUAUUAAGGCAUAAAAAGUCAUAGUAUAGUAAGGUACAAAAGUCAUAGUACAGUAUAUCAUAAAAAGUCAUAAUAUACUGAGUCAUAAAAAGUCAUAGUAUAAUAAGUCAUAAAAAGUCAUGGUAAAGUAAGGUAUAAAAGUCACAGUAAAAUAAGUCAUAAAAUGUCAAAGUAUAAUAAGUCGUUAAAUGUCAUCGUAUCGUAAGGUGUAAAAUGUCAUAGUAUAUUAAGGCAUUAAAAAGUAAUAAUAUAAUGAGGCAUUAAAAAGUAAUAAUAUAGUGAGGCUUAAAAAAUAGUAAAAAUGUAAUAGUAUAGUACGGUAUAAAAAAUUCAUAAAAAAGUCAUAGUAUAGUAAGGAAUAAAAAGUGAUAAAAAAGGUCAUAGUAUAGUAAGGCAUAAAAAGUCAUAAAAAAGUAAUAGUAUAUUAAGGCAUAAAAAGUGAUAAAAAAGUCAUAGUAUAGUAAGGCAUAAAAAGUCAUAGUAUAGGUAAGGCAUAAAAAGUCAUAAAAAAGUCAUAGUAUAGUAAGGCAUAAAAAGUGAUAAAAAAAAGUCAUAGUACAGUAUGGCAUAAAAAGUUAUAAAAACAUCAUAGUAUAGUAAGGCAUAAAAAGUCAUAGUAUAGUAAGGUAUAAAAAGUCAUAAUAUAGUAAAUCAUAAAAUGUCAUAAAAAGUCAUAGUAUAGUAAGGCAUAAAAAGUCAUAAUAUAGUAAAUCAUAAAAUUUCAUAAAUAAGUCAUAGUAUAGUAAGGCAUAAAAAGUCAUAGCAAAGUAAAGCAUAAAAAGUUAUAAAAACGUCAUAGUAUAGUAAGGCGUAAAAACGUCAUAGUAUAGUAAGACAUAAAAACCUCAUAAAAUGUCAUAGUAUAGUAAGGCAUAAAAAGUGAUAAAAAAGUCAUAGUAUAGUAAGGCAUAAAAAGUCAUAAAAAUGUCAUAGUAUAGUAAGGUGAGACGGACCCCUGUUCCAUCAUCAGCUUUCAGGUAGUAUAGUAAGGCAUAAAAAGUGAUAAAAAAGUCAUAGUAUAGUAAGGCAUAAAAAGUGAUAAUAUAGUAAAUCAUAAAAUGUCAUAAAAAAGUCGUAGCAUAGUAAAGUAUAAAAAGUUAUAAAAACGUCAUAGUAUAGUAAGGCAUAAAAAGUCAUAGUAUAGUAAGGCAUAAAAAGUGAUAAAAAAAAAGUCAUAGUAUAGUAAGGAAUUAAAAGUGAUAAAAAAAAGUCAUAGUAUAGUAAGGCAUAAAAAGUUAUAAAAACAUCAUAGUAUAGUAAGUCAUAAAAAAUUAAAAAAAAAAAAAUAGUAUAUUAAGGCAUGAAAAGUGAUAAAAAAAAGUCAUAGUAUAGUAAGGCAUAAAUAGUCAUAGCAAAGUAAAUCAUAAAAAGUUAUAAAAACGUCAUAGUACAGUAAGGCACAAAAACGUCAUAGUAUAGUAAGGCAUAAAACGUGAUAAAAAAGUCAUAGUAUAGUAAGGCAUUAAAAGGUAAUAAUAUAGUGAUGCUUAAAAAGUAGUAAAAAUGUAAUAGUAUAGUACGGUAUAAAAAGUUCAUAAAAAAGUCAGUAUAGUAAGGCAUAAAAAGUGAAAAAAAAAAGUCAUAGUAUAGUGAGGCAUAAAAAGUGAUAAAAAAAAAAGUCAUAGUAUAGUGAGGCAUAAAAAGUGAUAAGAAAAGUCAUAGUAUAGUAAAUCAUAAAAUGUCAUAAAAAGUCAUAUUAUAGUAAGGCAUAAAAAUUUAUAAAAACAUAAUAGUAUAGUCAAUAAGAAGUCAUAAAAAAGUCAUAGUGUAGUAAGGCAUAAAUAGUUAUAAAAACGUCAAAGUAUAUUAAGGCAUAAAAAGUCAUAGUAUAUUAAGGCAUAAAAAGUCAUAUCAUAGUAAAGCAUAAAAUGUCAUAAAAACGUUUUAGUAUAGUAAGACAUAAAAAUUCAUAAAAAGUCAUAGUAUAGUAAGGCAUAAAAAGUGAUAAAAAAGUCAUAGUAUAGUAAGGAAUAAAAAGUGAUAAAAAGGUCAUAGUAUAGUAAGGCAUUAAAAGGGAUAAAAAAGUCAUAGUAUAGUAAGGCAUAAAAAGUUAUAAAAACAUCAUAGUAUAGUAAGGCAUAAAAAGUCAUAGUAAAGGUAAGGCAUAAAAAGUCAUAAAAAAGUAAUAGUAUAUUAAGGCAUAAAAAGUGAUAAAAAAGUCAUAGUAUAGUAAGGUAUAAAAAGUCAUAAUAUAGUAAAUCAUAAAAUGUCAUAAAAAGUCAUAGUAUAGUAAGGCAUAAAAAGUCAUAAUAUAGUAAAUCAUAAAAUGUCAUAAAUAAGUCAUAGUAUAGUAAGGCAUAAAAAGUCAUAGUAUAGUAAGGAAUAAAAAGUGAUAAAAAAGUCAUAGUAUAUUAAGGCAUAAAAAGUGAUAAAAAAAAGUCAUAGUAUAGUGAGGUAUAAAAAGUCAUAAUAUAGUAAAUCAUAAAAUGUCAUAAAUAAGUCAUAGUAUAGUAAGGCAUAAAAAGUCAUAGCAAAGUAAAGCAUAAAAAGUUAUAAAAACGUCAUAGUAUAGUAAGGCAUAAAAAGUGAUAAAAAAAAGUCAUAGUAUAGUGAGGCAUAAAAAGUGAUAAAAGUCAUAGUAUAGUAAGGCAUAAAAAGUGAUAAAAAAGUCAUAGUAUAGUAAGGCAUAAAAAUUUAUAAAAACGUCAUAGUAUAUUAAGGCAUAAAAGGUCAUAGCAUAGUAAAGCAUAAAAAGUGAUAAAAAAGUCAUAGUAUAGUAAGGCAUAAAAAUUUAUAAAAACGUCAUAGUAUAUUAAGGCAUAAAAGGUCAUAGUAUAGUAAGGCAUAAAAAGUGAUAAAAAAGUCAUAGUAUAUUAAGGCAUAAAAAUUGAUAAAAAAGUCAUACUAUAGUGAGGCAUAAAAAGUGAUAAUAUAGUAAGGCAUAAAAAAAUUCAUAAAAAAGUCAUUAUAGUAAGGCAUAAAAAUUUAGAAAAAACGUCAUAGUAUAUUAAGG